rnacentral:rRNA from 1 species
UACGUAGGGUGCGAGCGUUGUCCGGAAUUAUUGGGCGUAAAGGGCUCGUAGGCGGUUUGUCGCGUCCGCUGUGAAAUCUGGGGGCUCAACCCCCAGCCUGCAGUGGGUACGGGCAGACUAGAGUGCGGUAGGGGAGAUUGGAAUUCCUGGUGUAGCGGUGGAAUGCGCAGAUAUCAGGAGGAACACCGAUGGCGAAGGCAGAUCUCUGGGCCGUAACUGACGCUGAGGAGCGAAAGCAUGGGGAGCGAACAGG